rnacentral:rRNA from 1 species
AGAGUUUGAUCCUGGCUCAGGACGAACGCUGGCGGCGUGGAUUAGGCAUGCAAGUCGAACGCGAAAGGUUUGCUUCGGUGAAUCGAGUAGAGUGGCGGACGGGUGAGUAACGCGUAGGUAAUCUACCUUUAAGCGGGGGGAUAGCCCCGGGAAACCGGGAUUAAUACCGCAUGUGUUCCCGCACCUAUUAUAAUUUGGGUUAUUUUAUUGUAAUCAGAUUAUAAUAGGUGUGGGAGUAAAGAUGGCCUCUGUUUCAAGCUAUCGCUUAGAGAUGAGCCUGCGUCCUAUUAGUUAGUUGGUGUGGUAAUGGCGCACCAAGGCGAUGAUAGGUAGGCGGCUUUAACGAGUGGUCGCCCACACUGGGAUUGAGAUACGGCCCAGACUCCUACGGGAGGCAGCAGUCGAGAAUAGUCUACAAUGGGGAAACCCUGAUAGUGCGACGCCGCGUGAACGAAGACUCCCUUCGGGGUGUAAAGUUCUUUUCUAUGUGAGCAUGAUAUUAAGAUGAAUAGUUUUAGUAUAGAGAUAUUAGCAUAGGAAUAAGCUCCGGCUAACUCCGUGCCAGCAGCCGCGGUAACACGGGGGGAGCAAGCGUUGUCCGGAAUUACUAGGCGUAAAGGGCAAGUAGGCGGAGAUGUAAGUCAGUUGUUAAAGGCAUCGGCUCAACCGGUGUAAGGCAAUUGAUACUGCAUUUCUAGAGUAAGGUAGGAGAAGACGGAAUUCCUGGUGUAGCGGUGGAAUGCGCAGAUAUCAGGAGGAACACCGGUGGCGAAGGCGGUCUUCUAUGCCAUUACUGACGCUCAAUUGCGAAGGUGUGGGUAUCAAACAGGAUUAGAUACCUGGUAGUCCACACAGUAAACGAUAUGCACUAGAUGUUGGGAGAGAUAAUCUUUCAGU